GAUGAACGCUGGCGGCGUGCCUAAUACAUGCAAGUCGAGCGAACGGACGAGAAGCUUGCUUCUCUGAUGUUAGCGGCGGACGGGUGAGUAACACGUGGAUAACCUACCUAUAAGACUGGGAUAACUUCGGGAAACCGUAUCUAAUACCGGAUAAUAUUUUGAACCGCAUGGUUCAAAAGUGAAAGACGGUCUUGCUGUCACUUAUAGGUGGAUCCGCGCUGCAUUAGCUAGUUGGUAAGGUAACGGCUUACCAAGGCAACGAUGCAUAGCCGACCUGAGAGGGUGAUCGGCCACACUGGAACUGAGACACGGUCCAGACUCCUACGGGAGGCAGCAGUAGGGAAUCUUCCGCAAUGGGCGAAAGCCUGACGGAGCAACGCCGCGUGAGUGAUGAAGGUCUUCGGAUCGUAAAACUCUGUUAUUAGGGAAGAACAUAUGUGUAAGUAACUGUGCACAUCUUGACGGUACCUAAUCAGAAAGCCACGGCUAACUACGUG
rnacentral:rRNA from 1 species